CGCACCUUGCACUCUUUGGUAUUCCGAAGAGUACGCCUGUUCGAGCGUCAUGAAAUUCUCAAAUUAACUUUUUUGGUUGGUUUGGACUUGGAUCUUUGCAACUGAAAUACUGUUGCUGAUCUUAAAUGGAUUAGUCUACGGGUUAUUAAGACUACUCGGCGUGAUAGCUUUCAUCGUUGAGGAAAUUAGUAACCAAAGGGCUUUCUAACCGUCAAUCAUGACAAAAUCAGAAACUUUCAAAUCUGACCUCGAAUCAGGUGGGACUACCCGCUGAACUUAA
rnacentral:misc_RNA from 1 species